rfam:Tupaia chinensis contig77188, whole genome shotgun sequence.
UUACGUACCUGACAGAAGAGGUACCAGGAUCACGAAGGUGGUUUUCCUAGGGCGAGACUUAUCCACUGCACUCUCGAUGUACUGACCCUUGUGACUUCCCCAGAUGCGGGAAACGCGACUGCAUAAUUGGUGGCAGUGGGGAACUGCAUUCGUGUUUUCCUCUG